rnacentral:tRNA from 2 species
UUCAGGGAGACCUUACCCACUCAAUUCCGAGAGCAAUCAGCUAAUAGGAAUGAGUCUGGUCAACCUAGGUCGUUCGAGGAAUUUGUGUGGCUCUCAAACUUGUCUGGGUUUACUUCUAAGAAGAAGGGAAACGAGGGCUAUUAGCUCAGGUGGUUAGAGCGCACCCCUGAUAAGGGUGAGGUCCCUGGUUCGAGUCCAGGAUGGCCCACCUUCAAACUGCUCAAGAGAAAAGUAUCUCUUCGGAGAAUUUCGCUUCUCUAAAUAGACUUUCAUAAAGAAAAGUCGCAAGUUUUGCCUUCAGAGAAGAAAGACAACACGAUUUCAGCAACUUCUAACGAUUAAGAAGACUGCUGAACUAAUGUUCAGCCAGAACCUUGAAAACUGCAUAGCAACAAAAGCCAAAGCAAGGUA